rnacentral:rRNA from 1 species
AGAGUUUGAUCCUGGCUCAGGAUGCCUUCUAGCGGCAGGCUUAACACAUGCAAGUCGAGGGGCAGCGGGGAGGAAGCUUGCUUUCUCCGCCGGCGACCGGCGCACGGGUGAGUAACACGUAUGCAACCUGCCCCUGUCAGGGGGACAACCCGCCGAAAGGCGGGCUAAACCCGCGUACAUGCCACCGGGGCAUCCCGGAGGCAGGAAAGGCUUCGGCCGGACAGGGAUGGGCAUGCGGCGCAUUAGGCAGUAGGCGGGGUAACGGCCCACCUAACCGACGAUGCGUAGGGGUUCUGAGAGGAAGGUCCCCCACACUGGUACUGAGACACGGACCAGACUCCUACGGGAGGCAGCAGUGAGGAAUAUUGGUCAAUGGUCGGGAGAUUGAACCAGCCAAGCCGCGUGAGGGAGGAAGGCACAGAGUAUCGUAAACCUCUUUUGUCAGGGAACAAAGGCGGGGACGUGUCCCCGGAUGAGUGUACCUGAAGAAAAAGCAUCGGCUAACUCCGUGCCAGCAGCCGCGGUAAUACGGAGGAUGCGAGCGUUAUCCGGAUUUAUUGGGUUUAAAGGGUGCGCAGGCGGUCUGUUAAGUCAGCGGUCAAAGCCCGGGGCUCAACCCCGGCCCGCCGUUGAAACUGGCAGUCUCGAGUUGGAGAGAAGUAUGCGGAAUGCGCGGUGUAGCGGUGAAAUGCAUAGAUAUCGCGCAGAACUCCGAUUGCGAAGGCAGCAUGCCGGCUCCACACUGACGCUGAGGCACGAAAGCGUGGGUAUCGAACAGGAUUAGAUACCCUGGUAGUCCACGCAGUAAACGAUGAAUGCUGGCUGUCCGGGGGGGAUUGACCCCUGGGUGGCGAAGCGAAAGCGAUAAGCAUUCCACCUGGGGAGUACGCCGGCAACGGUGAAACUCAAAGGAAUUGACGGGGGCCCGCACAAGCGGAGGAACAUGUGGUUUAAUUCGAUGAUACGCGAGGAACCUUACCCGGGCUCAAACGGGGAGUGACUCAGGCAGAGACGCCUGUUUCCCACGGGACACUCCCCGAGGUGCUGCAUGGUUUCGUCAGCUCGUGCCGUGAGGUGUCGGCUUAAGUGCCAUAACGAGCGCAACCCCCGCGUGCAGUUGCUAACAGAUAACGCUGAGGACUCUGCACGGACUGCCGGCGCAAGCCGCGAGGAAGGCGGGGAUGACGUCAAAUCAGCACGGCCCUUACGUCCGGGGCGACACACGUGUUACAAUGGGUGGUACAGCGGGAAGCCAGGCGGCGACGCCGAGCGGAACCCGAAAUCCACUCUCAGUUCGGAUCGGAGUCUGCAACCCGACUCCGUGAAGCUGGAUUCGCUAGUAAUCGCGCAUCAGCCAUGGCGCGGUGAAUACGUUCCCGGGCCUUGCACUCACAACCCGUCA